rnacentral:rRNA from 1 species
UGUACACGCUGUGACUAGCAUAUCAAUAAGCGGAGGAAAAGAAACUAACAAGGAUUCCCCUAGUAACGGCGAGUGAAGCGGGAAGAGCUCAAAUUUGAAAUCUUAAAGGGUUUCCCUUUACGAAUUGUAGUUUAAAGAAGUGUUUUCUGUUGAGGUUUUGGUAAAAGUUCUUUGGAAUAGGACAUCAUAGAGGGUGAGAAUCCCGUAUUUGACCUUUACUUUCAACUUUGUGAUACACUUUCAAAGAGUCGGAUUGUUUGGGAAUGCAGUCCAAAAUGGGUGGUAAAUUUCAUCUAAAGCUAAAUAUUGGCGAGAGACCGAUAGCGAACAAGUACCGUGAGGGAAAGAUGAAAAGAACUUUGAAAAGAGAGUUAAACAGUACGUGAAAUUGUCAAAAGGGAAGCGUUUGACACCAGUGUUGUUUUUCUGAAAAUCAAUUAAAGAACUGUUUAUGCUAAGUUGUUUAGACUUUAUCAGCUAACUGUUUAGUUUUGAGCUUUUCUUUAAUGCACUUUUCAGUUAACAAGUCAACAUCAAUUUCUUUUGCUGUAAAAAAGCUUGAGGAAGGUGGCUUGAGAUUCGUCUUAAGUGUUUAUAGCCUCUUGCCUAUGCAGUCGGAGAGAUUGAGGUCUGCAGCGUAGAUCCUUCGGGGCUAAAUGCAUUUGUGCUAAGUUAUAACAUUUCAUAGACAACUUGUUGACUAUGAUUUGUCUUGUAGCUUACUCGCUUAUGUUAUUUUACCUACGCUUAGGAUGUUGACAGCAGUAUAGACUGU